AUCCUGGCUCAGGAUGAACGCUGGCGGCGUGCUUAACACAUGCAAGUCGAACGAAGUCACUUUAUUAUGAUUUCUUCGGAAUGACGAUUUAGUGACUGAGUGGCGGACGGGUGAGUAACGCGUGGGUAACCUGCCUUAUACAGGGGGAUAACAGUUAGAAAUGACUGCUAAUACCGCAUAAGCGCACAGGAUUGCAUGAUCUAGUGUGAAAAACUCCGGUGGUAUAAGAUGGACCCGCGUCUGAUUAGCUGGUUGGCGAGGUAACGGGCCCACCAAGGCGACGAUCAGUAGCCGACCUGAGAGGGUGACCGGCCACAUUGGGACUGAGACACGGCCCCAGACUCCUACGGGAGGCAGCAGUGGGGAAUAUUGCACAAUGGGGGAAACCCUGAUGCAGCGACGCCGCGUGGAGGAAGAAGGUCUUCGGAUUGUAAACUCCUGUUGUUGAGGAAGAUAAUGACGGUACUCAACAAGGAAGUGACGGCUAACUACGUG
rnacentral:rRNA from 1 species